rnacentral:rRNA from 1 species
UACGUAGGCAGCGAGCGUUGUUCGGAGUUACUGGGCGUAAAGGGUGUGUAGGCGGUUGUUUAAGUUUGGUGUGAAAUCUCCCGGCUCAACUGGGAGGGUGCGCCGAAUACUGAAUGACUUGGAGUGCGGGAGAGGAAAGUGGAAUUCCUGGUGUAGCGGUGAAAUGCGUAGAUAUCAGGAGGAACACCUGCGGUGUAGACGGCUUACUGGACCAUAACUGACGCUGAGGCACGAAAGCGUGGGUAGCAAACAGG